rnacentral:pre_miRNA from 1 species
AAUGGGAUAGCUGGGUCAAAAGGUGGUUCCAAGUUUUUUAAGGAAUCUCCAUACUACUUACCAGAUUGGUUGCUCCAAUUUGCGGUCCCACCAGCAAU